rnacentral:rRNA from 1 species
UGGGGAAUAUUGGACAAUGGGCGCAAGCCUGAUCCAGCCAUGCCGCGUGAGUGAUGAAGGCCUUAGGGUUGUAAUGCUCUUUUUGGCGGGGACGAUAAUGACGGUACCCGCAGAAUAAGCCCCGGCUAACUUCGUGCCAGCAGCCGCGGUAAUACGAAGGGGGCUAGCGUUGUUCGGAAUUACUGGGCGUAAAGCGCACGUAGGCGGAUAGUUAAGUCAGGGGUGAAAUCCUGGGGCUCAACCCCAGAACUGCCUUUGAUACUGGCUGUCUCGAGGUCGAGAGAGGUUGGUGGAAUUCCCAGUGUAGAGGUGAAAUUCGUAGAUAUUAGGAAGAACACCAGUGGCGAAGGCGGCCAACUGGCUCGAUACUGACGCUGAGGUGCGAAAGCGUGGGGAGCAAACAGGAUUAGAUACCCAUGUAGUCCCUGAGCGGGCUGGCAAGGCGCAU